UAGGGUUAGGGUUAGGGUUUGAUGGGCCCUAGGGUUAGGGUUACCGUUACUUUUAUGGUUACAGGUAGGGUUAGGGUUAGAUCUCCCCCAGCUACCCUAAAGAGCCAUGGACUCAUUUCUGUCCUAAAGGAUCGACAGCUGGAAGCUGUCACCAGCACCACCUCACAUCUGGGCAGCAGGUCCUUCCCUGAAGAUGGCCCUGAGUAGCCCAUCUGUGGUCCUGCUGUUAGGGACAGAUCCUUCUGGCUGGUGGACUGGCCGGCUCCGAGGCAAGCAGGGUCUGUUCCCCAACAACUACGUGACCAAGAUCUGAGUUGCACAGAGACUGACGCACGGGCGAAGGCGCUCCAGGCACAGACAGGGAGGGGACAUUUGGGGCUCUCCUUCUGAUCUAUAAUGAUCAACUGCUUCACCACGGCCUGGAGUUAUUCUGGCACCUUCCCCAGGACAUUGAAAGGCUGGGUUGGGGAAAGGGUUGUCACUCCAUAAAUGAUCCUACAAGAUAGCCUAUUCACGAGAACCCAGGAGGGCAAAACAACCACCCACUAAGAUUUAUUUAUUCUAUUUAAACCUGGUGAGAGGACAGGCGGGGUCCACUCAGACCUUGUUGGCUCUAUCAGAACAGCGCCCCGCUCGCUCACCAGGCCCAGGGAAUGGCUGUGGGCGGCCGCUGACAAGUGCCUUUAAUUGAAGAGCACAUUUCUCUCAUCCCUCUUUUCCUUACCUGACACACCUUCCCUCUGCCCCCUCCCCUCUCUGCAGGCGUGAGUGGGCACCUCUGGUGCAAAUGCUAGGGGCGGGCAUGGCCUGCUGAGCCCAUGGGAGCAGAGGGGCGCUGGUUUACACUUCCUGGGACCAUCAGGCUGCGGGGCUGAGUGGGGCUGGGGGCUGGGCUGUCUGCCUUGCUUUCCUGGGUCUUCAGUGGGAAUGUGGCUGGCCCAUGUUGGUUUUGUGUUUAAUGCUGUACCUAUUACUAGAAGGGUCUUUUUUUUUUCAAGCUGUACAUUUAUAAAAACAGAUCAUAUACUGUAUAUAUAAAAAAAAAAAUCUCAAGAUGGUAGAAACAUGUAUGAAUGUACUAAGUAGUAUUCCACUGUACUUAUUCAUAAGGUAGGUUUUAUUACAAAACUCGCACCAGGUACUUACAGAUGUGCACUACUCCUUCCAACUAUAGAAUCAGUGUUACUGCUUUCUAGCUCCGCCCCCGCAAGGCCCUUCCAACCCUUCCCCUACAGGUGAUUUCCCCUGCCCCCCUCACCUCCUAAUAAAGGAAUCAGUGAACCCCCUU